rnacentral:rRNA from 1 species
AAACUUUCAACAACGGAUCUCUUGGUUCUGGCAUCGAUGAAGAACGCAGCGAAAUGCGAUAAGUAAUGUGAAUUGCAGAGUUCAGUGAAUCAUCGAAUCUUUGAACGCACAUUGCGCCCGUCAGUAUUCUGACGGGCAUGCCUGUCCGAGCGUCAUUU